rnacentral:precursor_RNA from 1 species
ACUUGAGCUGUAGGUAUUACCUUACCUUACCUACAGUUCAAGUAU